rnacentral:rRNA from 1 species
UACAGAGGUCCCAAGCGUUGUUCGGAUUCAUUGGGCGUAAAGGGUGCGUAGGUGGCGCCGUAAGUCGGGUGUGAAAUUUCGGAGCUUAACUCCGAAACUGCAUUCGAUACUGCGGUGCUUGAGGACUGGAGAGGAGACUGGAAUUCAUGGUGUAGCAGUGAAAUGCGUGGAGAUCAUGAGGAAGACCAGUGGCGAAGGCGGGUCUCUGGACAGUUCCUGACACUGAGGCACGAAGGCCAGGGGAGCAAACGGG